GGGCAGGCAGUAGCUCAGCAGUUCCUUCAACUGCAUUGUGAUUUCAUUACACUCUUGGGGGUGAUUCAAGAGCCACAAGUGCUCCCCCGUCCUUUA
rnacentral:vault_RNA from 1 species